GGCGGCACCUGUGGGCCCCGCCGGCCCUUCCCCGGCGUGCCGGCGGGGAGCCUGCGGGACGGCCCUGGCCGGGUCACCGACUUGGGCAUGUCGGCCGGCCGCCGGGCAGCUGCUCUGCUCGCCGCAGGACCUCGUAGCGGGCGGGGAGGGCACUGCCGGCCCGGCGACCGGAGUCAGCGGCGUGGCGGCGGGUCCCCUGCCCCAGGUGUUCCGGGAACAGCGACGACAGCUCGUCCCGCCGCGGGAGAGAUGGCCCUGUCCCGUGAUAAAGCCGCCGUGGCUUGUCAGCAGUUCAUGUAACAUGUUAGCGAGCCCCGAGACUUCCCGUCCGGGAAUUUAGGGGGUCGGGGGGAGAGUGAGGCGAGGACAGGACAACACAGGUGAAUGCCAGGGACUGGGAGCGCGGACGGGGCAGGCAGCCGAGGCCGGGCUCAGCACUGGGACUUGCUGAGCGCGAUGCAGAAGCAGGGUUCUGGAUAACAGGGUGGCCCGCUUGCAUCUGUGCUCUAGAACAAAAAUGUGGGCAGUGGAUUGCGGUGCCACGGGCCCUGGAAACACGUAUGGUUGGUGGGGGGGAAGCUCCUCGGGGCGCGCAGGCCAAAGAAGGGAGAGACGUCUGCACCUGCCCUGCGAGACGUUCAAAGGGCGCGCUCUGCGGCCCUAAGGCCUGGUUGCGGUUCUGGCUGCCAUUGUAUAAUCUAUAAUGCAGGUUGGUUUCUCCUUCUUCUUUUUUUUUUUUUAAAGGUUUAUUUAUUUUAGAGAGCACUAGCAGGAGGGGCAGAGGGAGAAAGAAUCUCAAGCCGACUCUGCGCUGAGCGAGAAGCCCAAUGUGGGGCGGGUUUGGGGGCUCGAUGUCACCACCAGGAGAUCACUGCCUGAUCAGAAAAGGAGAGAGAGUCGGGGUGCUUAACUUGGCCACCCAAGGCCCCUCGCAGACACAUCCUGAUCUACCUUCUAAGAAGCCAAAAACAACUCAUCCCUGCUGCUGUCAGCAGGUGGGGGAUGGAGUGCUCUCCAGUGGCUUGAGAGGAAACCUUGCACGUUGGUCGCAAGUGUUCUUGGAUUCGUGGUGUCAGCUGCAUGAGCAAACACAGACCCGCCUUCCUCAGCACAUCAGCUUGUCCUGAAGAAUGAGAGAGCUCUUCUCACCGUGACUGCUGGUUACCGUGUCUACACACCCGGACAGCAGAAAGCCCAGGGGAAGGAGCCACCCUCUUCCGGCCCACCGCAGUGAGGACCUCUUUUCCAAAAGCCCCUGGCGGCCUCCCCUCAAGCCUCCUGGGCCAGGAUUGGGCCACAUGCUUUGUCCUACCCUGCGUGCCAGUGAGGGGACUGGGACCACCACGACUGGCUUAGAUCAGUGGUGUCGGGUUAUCAACCUCCUGCCUCAUGUGCGUGGAAUCACCUGGGGAGCUUUAAGACCCACUGAGGCCUGAUGCCCACCUCCUCACGGUUUGCUUCAACUGGGCUGGGAUAGGCCCUGAGCAUAGGGAUUGUAAAAAUCCCUAAUGCGUAGCCAAGAUUCAUUACCACUGCCUUAGACUCCUCAGGAUUCACCCUGAGUACAGGGUGGGGGUGGAGGAGUGGGAAAGGGGUGGGUAGCACGGAAAAAAGUGGGGCAGGGAAAGUGGGGAAUGAUUGUUGGACUGGUCAAAAAAAAAAAAUCACCUCCCCGAAAGCAGAGUAUGUCCAUUCAUUCUUUCAUUGAUUCAUUUCCUCUUUUUUUAAAAUUUUUAAAUUUUUAUUUUUUAAUUAAAACAAUUUUAUUUUUGAUUAAUUUCCUCUUUCAGCAAACAUUUAUCGGGUUCCCACAAUGUUCAGGAGAUGAGAAAUCAAAGGGCACUAUUAGGGAAUGAGGAAAACCUAUAGGUCAGAUAAAAUAGAAGAAGUACACUCCUCUGGGCAGACACAACCCCAAGUCGUGGAGCUUGAUUAGAGAAGCAGGCUGGAUUUCAGCCCUGGCUGGGCAUCCUUGUGCAGUGUACAAACUCAUUAACUGUACACGGAGGACUGAAGAAUACAAACAGAAUAUGGGUCCUGCCUGCUAAGACUGCAGUCUAAAAGAGAGAGAGAGAGACAGGCAAGCGUACCAACUGCUUUUGAGAGUCUGUCAAGUUUAUCCGAAGUGGCCAAAGUCAAAACAGGGCAUCUAAAAGUUCUACCAUUAGAA